ACGUGGCAAGCUGCGAUAAGCCUCGGGGAAGAGCAAACAUCUUUUGAUCCGGGGAUUUCCCAAUGGGGUAACCCGUAUGGCUGUUGAGGCCAUACACUGCUGGUUGAAUACAUAGGUCAGCAGAGCGAACUCAGGGAACUGAAACAUCUCAGUACCUGAAGGAAAAGAAAUCAAUCGAGAUUCCCUCAGUAGCGGCGAGCGAAGGGGGAAGAGCCCAAACCACCGGGUGCGCCCGGUGGGGUUGUAGGGCCGCCAAUAAAAGAUAAUCAGAAGGUUAGUUGAAGUGCCUGGGAAGGCACGGCGUAGAGGGUUAGACCCCCGUAGGCGAAAAUCCGAAGAUGUCCGAGGCGGUACCUGAGUAGGACGGGACACGAGAAAUCCUGUUUGAAUCUGGGGGGACCACCCUCCAAGGCUAAAUAUUACCUGGAGACCGAUAGUGNACCAGUACCGUGAGGGAAAGGUGAAAAGNACCUCGAACAGAGGAGUGAAAUAGNUCCUGAAACCCUGUGUNUACAAGCAGUGGAAGCANUACUGAUCUUCGGNUCAUGUGCGACCGCGUGCCUUUUGCAUAAUGAGCCAACGAGUUGUCUGUCGGUGGCAGGUUAAGUUUAUAACGGAGCCACAGCGAAAGCGAGUCUGAAGUGGGCGUUCGUCAUCGGCAACAGACCCGAAACCGAGUGAUCUACCCCUGUCCAGGUUGAAGCCUGGGUAAGACCAGGUGGAAGACCGAACCGUUGAGCCUUAAAACGUUCUCGGAUGAGGUGGGGGUAGGAGUGAAAGGCUAAUCAAACUCGGAGAUAGCUGGUUCUCCCCGAAAUAUAUUGAGGUAUAGCCUCGUGAUAGACCGCCGGAGGUAGAGCGCUGGAUGGACUAGGGCCCCCACCAGGGUACCAAACCCAACCAAACUGCGAAUGCCGGCGAGUUGUUUCACGGGAGUCAGACGGCGGGAGCUAACUUCCGUCGUCGAAAGGGAAACAACCCUAACCAUCAGCUAAGGCCCCCAAGUCGUGACUAAGUGGGAAAGGAAGUGGGAGCGCCCAGACAGCCAGGAGGUUGGCUUAGAAGCAGCCACCCUUUAAAGAAAGCGUAACAGCUCACUGGUCGAGCGAACCUGCACCGAAAAUUUAACGGGGCUCAAGUCAUGCGCCGAAGCUAUGGGAUUUGUAUUUAUACAAAUCGGUAGGGGAGCGUUCCCUGUGCGGUGAAGCUGAAUCGAAAGGGUCAGUGGAGCGCAGGGAAGUGAGGAUGUUGGCAUAAGUAACGAAAAUGCGAGUGAGAAACUCGCACGCCGAAAGCCCAAGGUUUCCCGGGCCAUGUUAUUCAGCCCGGGGUUAGUCGGCACCUAAGACGAGGCCGAAAGGCGUAGUCGACGGCAAACCGGUUCAUAUUCCGGUACUUGCACGUGCGCGUGAUGGAGGGACACAGGAGGAUAGGCCGUCCGGGUGAUGGAUAUCCCGGUUCAAGGCAUUAGGCGGAAGUUCCAGGCAAAUCCGGAGCUUCAUUCAACGCCGAGAGCUGAUGACGAGAGGCUUUGCUUCGCAAAGCGGUCGAUUCCACACUGUCGAGAAAAGCUUCUAAGCAUAGCACGGGCGAACCGUACCCCAAACCGACACAGGUGGGCGGGUAGAGAAUACCAAGGCGCUUGAGGGAAAUCAUGUUAAGGAACUCUGCAAAUUGACUCCGUAACUUCGGAAGAAGGAGUGCCUGUAGUGGUAAAGGGACUUGCUCCCCGAGCUUCAGCAGGCCGCAGUGACCAGGCCCAGCCGACUGUUUAGCAAAAACACAGCACUCUGCCAAAUCGCAAGAUGAUGUAUAGGGUGUGACGCCUGCCCGGUGCCGGAAGGUUAAGGGGAGGAGUUAGGUCUUCGGACCAAAGCUCCAAACUGAAGCCCCGGUAAACGGCGGCCGUAACAAUAACGGUCCUAAGGUAGCGAAAUUCCUUGUCGGGUAAGUUCCGACCUGCACGAAUGGCGUAACGAUCUGGGCGCUGUCUCAAUGUGAUUCUCAGUGAAAUUGAAAUGGCGGUGAAGAUACCGUCAACCCGCGGCAAGACGGAAAGACCCCGUGCACCUUUACUGCAGCUUGGCAGUGGACCUGGGAAAGAUUUGUGUAGGAUAGGUGGGAGGCUUUGAAGGGGGGACGCUAGUUCUUCUGGAGCCAU
rnacentral:rRNA from 1 species